GGGCUACACACGUGCUACAAUGGCAUCUACAGUGGGUUAAUCCCCAAAAGAUGUCUCAGUUCGGAUUGUUCUCUGCAACUCGAGAGCAUGAAGUCGGAAUCGCUAGUAAUCGCGUAUCAGCAAUGACGCGGUGAAUACGUUCCCGGACCUUGUACACACCGCCCGUCAAGCCAUGGAAGUUGGGUAGACCUGAAGAUGGUUGCUGUAAGGCGCUAUUUAGGGUAGAACCA
rnacentral:rRNA from 1 species